rnacentral:rRNA from 1 species
AAUGAGCGCUGGCGGCAUGCCUUACACAUGCAAGUCGAACGGCAGCAUGACCUAGCUUGCUAGGUUGAUGGCGAGUGGCGAACGGGUGAGUAAUGCAUCGGAACGUGCCUUUUAGUGGGGGAUAACGUAGCGAAAGUUACGCUAAUACCGCAUAUUCUCUGAGGAGGAAAGCAGGGGACCUUCGGGCCUUGCGCUAGAAGAGCGGCCGAUGUCGGAUUAGCUAGUUGGUGAGGUAAAGGCUCACCAAGGCAACGAUCCGUAGCGGGUCUGAGAGGAUGAUCCGCCACACUGGGACUGAGACACGGCCCAGACUCCUACGGGAGGCAGCAGUGGGGAAUUUUGGACAAUGGGCGCAAGCCUGAUCCAGCCAUGCCGCGUGAGUGAAGAAGGCCUUCGGGUUGUAAAGCUCUUUCGGCUGGGAAGAAAUCGCACCCUCUAAUACAGGGUGUGGAUGACGGUACCAGCAGAAGAAGCACCGGCUAACUACGUG